GAAGGGAGGGCUGUUUUGAGCUGUUUUUGCCUGAAAAGGGAGGAGGGAGGAGGAAGAGGAGGGAGAGAACUGAGCUGUCUGAUCUGCACUGGUCUCUGCAAUAGAGAGGAGAGAGGAAGGAGGAGAAGAGAGGAGAGGAUAGUGAGAUGAACAGAGAUAAAGGAAUACUGGACUAACCCAUGAGGUGAACGAGGUGAGUGCGGAGAGCCAGGUGAGGAAUGAGAUAGAGACCAGGUUUCAACAGCUCCAGUCCCGCCUCUCCACCGAAACCAUGGAAACAGAGGAGGUCACCAAGACACUCAAAGCUACCCUCGCCGCGCUAUUGGACAGUAUGUGUGACAGUGACAGUAAUCCCACCCCUGUCCUGCCAUUCAGCCUAUCACACGACUCCAUGGGAGCCGCCUCCGCCUCCAAACUAGCCCUUGCCAAGCGGAGAGCCAAUCAGCAGGAGACAGAGACAUUCUACUUUAUGAGUUCAGGGCAGCAGAUCCCUGUGGUGGUUGAAAGCUGCAUUCGCUUCAUAAAUCUUCACGUCUGCACCAUGAGGGGAUAUUCCGUGUUCCAGGGUCCCAGAGAGAGGUCAACCACAUCACAGAUGCAUUCGAGAGAGUGAACCAAUCACAGAGGAGGGAGACGGAGAGACUGAACAACUCCACAGUGAGGAUGAAUGGGAGGUGGUGGCCAUGUUUGAUCACACAGCUCGGUCUGCUACUGAGCUGUCCUUCAAACAGGGGGAGUCCCUCCUCCUGCACAGCAAGGCCUCUUCUGAGUGGUGGAGAGGGGAAGUGGGAGGGGUUAGGGGCCUCAUACCACACAAAUACAUCAGCGUGUUGGAAGGAUAUGUGAUGCCAGUAAGGGGCCAGGAAGGUGAGGUGUCCCUCUCUGAUCAUCUGGAACAGCUCCUCUUGGUCUCCGUCCCUUCUCCGGAAUGGAGGGAACCUACAGAGCAGGAUGUGGACUAUCACCCCCAACGCCCACAGGUCUACCGGCAGACCAUACCCUGCAGAGAGAGAGGUAGAGGGAUGGAGAGAAAGAGAGAGAGGUGAACAGAGACAAAGAUUGUGAUAGAGGGCAAAUGCAUGCUUCGUGGAGAGACAGAAACAGAGUGAUGGAAGAAAAAAGAAACACAAGAAAGAAAGAAACAACCAGAAACAAACGGACCAGAGGAAAGAACGAGAGGGGAGGUGAGAGAGGCGGUAUCUGGGAUGGAAUCCCACCUCUGUCCAGCCGGUGUCUUUGUCCCGGUCUCCCUAAGGGUCCGUCACCGCGGUUACGGCUAAGACCCGGUCUGUUACCAGGGUUACUGCUAAGACUGCAGCCCCCAGCGAUGGGUCUCAUCCAUGAUACUCAUCCUGGAUCUCCCUUACAGAAAAAAAACAGGCUUCUUGGCGAACAGUUUGUGGCAAAUCUUUAGCCAUUUGCCAAAAACUACUAUUAUUACCGGAGAGACUUGUGAACUUCUGACAAACAAUUUUAAGAAACUUGUGUCGAACGUUCUACUGUUGUAUGAAUGUAUGAAUAUGAAAAUUAGGUCAAGUUUUUGGGUUACUUUGUGUAUUAACACAAAAUACAACUUGAAAUCAUCAGCAUGGUAAUGAAUAAAAGAGCAAAGACAGGAUAUUUCCCAAAUAAAAUAUGUAUUUAAUAGUUUUAUGUAGCUACAACAUUUACAUGAGAGAAAUGUGAACACUGUGUGGAUGUAGACCUUGUGAUGUUUAAAGAGGCAACUACAGAAUUUACAUGAGCCAAGAGAUAACUGAGCUAUAGCUUUCAACAUUGGAAUUUUAAAAGAUAGUUAACAAAAGUGAAAUAAUUCAAACUAAAAACUAAAGCAAACCCACUUCAGAUCCAUUUCCUUUUUUAGUCAACUUUGGAGAUGGUGGCUCAGUGGAAGACCUUGUCCAAAGCUUGUUGUGUGCAUGUACUGAAACAAUCAGAAAACACAAAACAAAAAAUAACAUUAGGAUACUGAAAAUUAAACGUUAUAUUAAAAUGUCUGCGCUCACUACCUAAGUCGCUCUGGAUAAGAGCGUCUGCUAAGUGACUGACAUGUAAAAUGUAAAAGUUAGACUCAGAGGCUAAUGGGUGGGCUUGGUUUUGGGAAAAUGGGAUCAAUUGUUACAAAAGUUGCCUUGAUGUUGCUAUGCUUCUCACUGUAACUUGUCAUUCUAUACAUUUUUUUCCAGCAAGAUAACAAUGUUUCUGCCUUGUUAAGUAAACAAACGAUGCAACUAGCAUAAACCGGGUCUUAGGCCAGGUUUUUCCUCCAGCCAAGCCUCAACACAAUUGAUUGAAACUAAUCAAUUAAUUAUGAUCUUUAAUCUAGACUGGGGAAUUCACUAUUAAGAGACAGUUGUCUACUAGUUGUCUCUUCUUCCUGACUCAGGUGUAUAAAGGCUUGGGUGGAAGAAAAGCAACAUAACAUUGAGUCGCGUCUAAUAUUAUUUUUUCUAAAAUGAUUUACUGUUAACUUACAUCUCAAAGCCCUGAAUGCAAGAAGCCCUGACUUGAUGCAUAAACAUAUUUCUCUGUUUGAUUGAAGGCCUCUAUCUGGCUCUUUUUUUUUGCCUCGUAACGGAAUUGCUUCGAGGAAAAAGAUAAGGAACAACACAUGGAUGGAUAUGAGCUAGCUGCUAGUUUAAAGCAAUGGAAGAUCUAAUUGUUACAAAGAAUGAAUGUAUAGGUUACAUUUAGGAGAAUAAUGUAUGCGUUACUUUAUCAAGCUUGAAGACCGUACAUUCAUUUAUUACAACAGUAGGAAGUGUUAUGAGUGAGUGCACCACAAACAUCUUUCCAGGAUGCUGCUGCAGCCUCCUCUAGGUACAGUCUAUUCCACCACCACGGGUAGGGGAAGGGGAUCCAUCUGUAAAAGUCCCGUUUUGUUUUGUUUUGCAGUUCGCUACACCCACAAUAACAUCUGUUAAACAUGUGUAUGUGACCAAUAAAAUUUGAUUUGA